CAGCCUUUUCUUUCAGUGUUGAAUCAACCUUUGUGCCUUGGUUUUGGUUGCCAUGGUACUGGCAGGGAUAUGCCUCUGUGCCUGGUCCUUAGUCCAGAUCACUGGAGGUUUCUCCAUAAGUUAUAGAGGCCCUAGUGGAAAUUUUCUUAGUCUCAUUGCCUUCUGUGAAGCAGAUUAUUUAACUGCUUCCAUUGCUCUUAUUUUUGUUCAUCAAGAUGGUCUCCUGCUGGUGAAACUAGCAGUGGCUCUUGAAGUCCUGAUGAACAAUUCAAGAUUAAAUCAAGCACUAUGGCAACUGCUGCAAUCCACAGAUAGGAUCUUACCAUGAAGCUCAGGCUGUCCUGGAACCCACCCACCACAUAACCCCGGCUGGCCUCAGACUUGAGGCCAUCCUCCUGUCUUGGUCUCCUUGAUGUGUUAUAUUCAAGCUUGAGAAUCCUGAAGAUUUGUGUGCCACCAUCCUUUGUUCAAUAUACAGAAUCAUUCAAGUAAUUGACAUUAUAAGUUCAUGUUUAGUUCCUACUGAAACUACAUGAGUCCAUUACAACAUUGAGGGAAAGUGGGGUUGGUGUUCAGGGUUUCUCAAAAUUGAGGCACAAGUGGUACAUUACAUUUAGUCCAAAGCUGUCUUCUUCUGUAGCAAAAGGUAACUCUGCAGUAUACAGACAAACUGCAACCUAGUUUGAGACUAUAUUCUUUAACAAGUAGCCAAGUUUUUGCCAGUCAUAAUAGAUGAGUUUUUAAUCAAUGGUAGACUGCAAAACAAUGAAACAUGUCCAAAUAAAGCAACAACUGUUUCUAUAUGCCACUUCUGUUUUCU
rnacentral:lncRNA from 1 species